UGAGACGUCGGGGCUCCCUUCUAGGCUGCGGGAGGAUGCAGAAGGCGUCUCGUUGGUAGUGUGGUCGGCCAUGAAUACGGUUCGUAAAGCAGUGAUGGUGGUUGCUGUGCUCGGCGCGGGUGCUGGCGUUGGCUCCACUCUGUUUGCCCUUGUGACCCCAGGAGAACUACAGAAGCAGGCAAUGCUGCAGGAGUUUCCGGAACGGGACCCGCGGCGCAGGGAAGAAGCUGCCAGGACCAAGGAACUGGUGAUGGCUACUCUGAAGAAAGCGGCAGCUACGGAGGAGAACGUGGCCUGGAGGAAGAACUGGACGGAAGCAGUUACCGACGGCAGCAGGUCACCGUGACACCAGAGCUUGCCUGUGGGACCUUCGAGGCGCCUUUCUCUGUGCGCGGGCGUGGAGUCCGGAUUCAGGAUAACACGACUCUAGCACGCACAGGUGAUGAAAAAGGACUCGGCUACCUCACGAUCAAGAAAAGACAAGAUGGGGCUGGAGAGAUGGCUCAGAGGUUAAGAGCAUUGCCUGCUCUUCCAAAGGUCUUGAGUUCAAUUCCCAGCAACCACAUGGUGGCUCACAACCAUCUGUAAUGGGGUCUGGUG